CCUACGGGAGGCAGCAGUGGGGAAUAUUGGACAAUGGGGGCAACCCUGAUCCAGCCAUGCCGCGUGUGUGAAGAAGGCCCUCGGGUUGUAAAGCACUUUCAGUGAGGAAGAACGCCUGGUGGUUAAUACCCAUCAGGAAAGACAUCACUCACAGAAGAAGCACCGGCUAACUCCGUGCCAGCAGCCGCGGUAAUACGGAGGGUGCGAGCGUUAAUCGGAAUUACUGGGCGUAAAGCGCGCGUAGGUGGCUUGAUAAGCCGGUUGUGAAAGCCCCGGGCUCAACCUGGGAACGGCAUCCGGAACUGUCAAGCUAGAGUGCAGGAGAGGAAGGUAGAAUUCCCGGUGUAGCGGUGAAAUGCGUAGAGAUCGGGAGGAAUACCAGUGGCGAAGGCGGCCUUCUGGACUGACACUGACACUGGGGUGCGAAAGCGUGGGUAGCAAACAGGAUUAGAUACCCCAGUAGUC
rnacentral:rRNA from 1 species